AGCAGUCGCCGCGGGAAUACGUAGGUGACAAGCGUUGUCCGGAAUUAUUGGGCGUAAAGCGCGCGCAGGCGGAUCAGUUAGUCUGUCUUAAAAGUUCGGGGCUUAACCCCGUGAUGGGAUGGAAACUGCUGAUCUAGAGUAUCGGAGAGGUAAGUGGAAUUCCUAGUGUAGCGGUGAAAUGCGUAGAUAUUAGGAAGAACACCAGUGGCGAAGGCGACUUUCUGGACGAAAACUGACGCUGAGGCGCGAAAGCCAGGGGAGCGAACGGGAUUAGAUACCCGGGUAGUCCCUGUCUCUUAUACC
rnacentral:rRNA from 1 species